rnacentral:rRNA from 1 species
UACGUAGGAGGCGAGCGUUGUCCGGAGUUACUGGGCGUAAAGGGCGAGUAGGUGGCCAUCUAAGUCAGACGUGAAAUCCCCCGGCUUAACCUGGGAACUGCGUCUGAUACUGGACGGCUUGAGUAUGGGAGAGGAACGUAGAAUUCCAGGUGUAGCGGUGAAAUGCGUAGAUAUCUGGAGGAAUACCGGUGGCGAAGGCGGCGUUCUGGACCAUUACUGACACUGAAUCGCGAAAGCUAGGGGAGCAAACGGG